rnacentral:rRNA from 1 species
CGUGAGGUGUUGGGUUAAGUCCCGCAACGAGCGCAACCCCCAUCAUUAGUUGCCAUCAGGUAAAGCUGGGAACUCUAAUGAAACUGCCGUCGUAAGACGCGAGGAAGGAGGGGAUGAUGUCAAGUCAUCAUGGCCUUUAUGCCCAGGGCUACACACGUGCUACAAUGGAAGGGACAAAGGGCUGCCACUUGGCGACAAGGAGCUAAUCCCAAAAACCCUUUCUCAGUUCAGAUCGCAGUCUGCAACUCGACUGCGUGAAGCUGGAAUCGCUAGUAAUCGUAUAUCAGCAAUGAUACGGUGAAUACGUUCCCGGACCUUGCACACACCGCCCGUCAAGCCAUGGAAGCUGGGUGUACCUAAAGUCGGUAACCGCAAGGAGCCGCCUAGGGUAAAACUAGUGACUGGGGCUAAGUCGUAACAAGGUAAGUCA